UACGAAGGGGGUGAGCGUUGUUCGGAAUUACUGGGCGUAAAGGGCGCGUAGGCGGCCCCUUUUGUCGCGUGUGAAAGCCCCGGGCUCAACCUGGGAGGUGCGCGCGAAACGGGGGGCUUGAGUUCGGGGAGAGGAGCGUGGAAUUCCCGAGUGUAGAGGUGAAAUUCGUAGAUAUUGGGAAGAACACCGGUGGCGAAGGCGGCGCUCUGGACCGAGACUGACGCUGAGGCGCGAAAGCGUGGGGAGCAACAGG
rnacentral:rRNA from 1 species